rnacentral:rRNA from 1 species
UGGGGAAUAUUGCACAAUGGGCGCAAGCCUGAUGCAGCCAUGCCGCGUGUAUGAAGAAGGCCUUCGGGUUGUAAAGUACUUUCAGCGAGGAGGAAGGCGUUGUGGUUAAUAACCGCAACGAUUGACGUUACUCGCAGAAGAAGCACCGGCUAACUCCGUGCCAGCAGCCGCGGUAAUACGGAGGGUGCAAGCGUUAAUCGGAAUUACUGGGCGUAAAGCGCACGCAGGCGGUCUGUCAAGGCGGAUGUGAAAUCCCCGGGCUCAACCUGGGAACUGCAUCCGAAACUGGCAGGCUAGAGUCUUGUAGAGGGGGGUAGAAUUCCAGGUGUAGCGGUGAAAUGCGUAGAGAUCUGGAGGAAUACCGGUGGCGAAGGCGGCCCCCUGGACAAAGACUGACGCUCAGGUGCGAAAGCGUGGGGAGCAAACA